UCUGAAUUUGCUCAUGUUGUACCAUAAUAAGCACAUAUAGAUUAACCAGUACUGGAAACAAUCUAGUGGUCCGUAUGACUAGAUAAUUUGCUGAGUUUAGUAACAGUUGCCAAAUAUCCAUACAAUUUAUUAGAUGACAAUAUCGUCACUAUUUUAAUACAACUGCCUCAAUCAUACAGUAAAGUUUCUGUAACUUUUUACUACUCCUAGAAUCUCAAUUAUACAAUACAUAGUUACUGCUCCAUUUUAUUAGGCAAAGUCACUUCUCAAUCACAUGGUAAAGUUACUUCAAGAUUUAACUACUCCUAGUAUGGAAUUAUUGACAUAGCCUCUUAGAUAGUCUGGUAGUCAUCCUCAAUUAUACAGUAAAUAUUCCGGAACAUUUUACUAUACCUUCGAUGGCUUACACUUAUUCACCAGGACAUGGUCUGGAAUUUUGACAGAUAAAUU
rnacentral:lncRNA from 1 species